ACUGCAGUAGUGAAAAUGAAGCGCACGAUGGGCGGAAGCUGUGAGUCCGGCAAAGUUUUAAAAUGAUGACGUAUUUUAUUAACUCUAACGGCACUGGCGGGUGACUGAAAAUACUAGUGCUGUGUAUGCGGGAUAGACAUUAUUUUCCUGCCCUACAUGAGGGGCUCGUGCGCGGAACGACAUGGGCAGCCCCGGCGGAAACUGCAGGCACAAGCCGGGACGCCGCGGGUUUAAAACAUGCGCGUGAGAGGAAGACAAACAUAAAGAUGAAGUGCUUAAUUCAAGGUCACACAAUGUCGGGGAUGGACCUCCAGAUUUCCUUACUGGUGAGACGUGGUCUUGUAACACAGUGGUUAAGAAUGUGACUUUGGAGCCAGCCUGCUAGGGGCUGAAUUCUGACUCAGCCAUUUACUAACUGUGUGACCUUAGGGGACCAGAUGUGCAGAGGUAAUGAAUACCAGGGAAUCAGGAAACCACUGGAUCAGUUCUUUGAGCCACAGAACAACACUCAUCCCAGCAGCUGGGAAGCUAUCUGCAAAAGU
ensembl:lncRNA PCBP1-AS1 PCBP1 antisense RNA 1